UCCCUGGUGGUCCAGUGGUAAGGACUCGGCACUCUCACUGCUGGGGCCCUGGGUUCGAUCCCUGGUCAGGGAA